GCCUGUUAGUUCCCAACACAGGGUUGCACCACUGAACUGCCUCAUGAAUACCACUCACAGGGACUGAUCUUGAGUAAACAUUCACGAACGGCAGAGCAGACAGACUCUAUGACAACAAUCAGGUUUGAAGAAGAUGAUGAGACAUGCAGAAGUCAAGCCACCAAACUGGAAAUUAAUCACCAGGUUGUGCUGGUAGAGUGGAAUUAACUACAGGAUGUACAGCAGAUGAUCAUUGUAAUGUGGUAAUAUUAAAGGGCCAAUUAUA